rnacentral:rRNA from 1 species
GACGGACGCUGGCGGCGUGCUUAACACAUGCAAGUCGAACGGAAAGGCCCUGCUUUUGUGGGGUGCUCGAGUGGCGAACGGGUGAGUAACACGUGAGUAACCUGCCAUUGCCUUUGGGCUAACUUCAGGUAACUGGGGUUAAUACCAGAUAGGAUCUCCUGCUGCAUGGUGGGGGUUGGAUAGUUUCGGCGGUUGGGGAUGGACUCGCGGCUUAUCAGCUUGUUGGUGGGGUAGUGGCUUACCAAGGCUUUGACGGGUAGCCGGCCUGAGAGGGUGACCGGCCACAUUGGGACUGAGAUACGGCCCAGACUCCUACGGGAGGCAGCAGUGGGGAAUAUUGCACAAUGGGCGGAAGCCGGAGGCAGCAACGCGGCGGGCGGGAUGACGGCCUUCGGGUGGUAAACCGCUUUCGCCUGUGACGAAGCGGGAGUGACGGUAAUGGGUAAAGAAGCACCGGCUAACUACGUG